CAGGCAGGCAGAAACAUUGCAUGGCUGAACUGCUGAAUGAAACAUUUGCAGCAGAAAUGCUGUGCAGUUAGUCAUUCUGCACAGGGAAUGUGCAGAACUUCAUCCAGAUCCAAGAAAGUGAAACCGAUAUCCUCUGAUCUACACUGGAAAUCCAGGUUAAAAAGAAGUAAUUUUGUGAAUAUAUUCUGGGAAUUCUUUAAGGAAAGCACACAGAUGAGGGAAUAACAACAUACGAAACAGCAGGUAAUCAUGAGAACCUUCCAGUUGAUGCAACGAGAAAGUGGCAGGUCCUACUAUAGCUGCAGUCUUUUUUGAAACCUGAAUGUGACUGAG